UGUCCUGUGAAGCUGCUCCGUGGUCAGUCUCACCGGGAAAGGUGUACUGAGGUUCCACCAACCACAACCCUCUCCCGUGUGCUAGAUACAGUAGGUAUGUUCACAUGCAGAGUCGCUAUGUUUAUUUCCAAUUUUCAGAGGCAAGGCUGUGAAUUUUUUUUCCGGAAAAACACAGAACAGACAGCUAGCAGAUCGGUGAGCCAGUAGCCAGUGAGUGCGAGAGAGACGGUAAAUACAGUGCAUGGGAACGUGCAACACACUAGAGAAGUUAUCCUGUGUGUGUGGGUUCUGCGGUUUUCUCAGCUCAAGUCAACAAGAUCUAUUGAGCCGUAGACUAUGACACGGAAGAGGAGCUCACUGUGUCGCAUUAAAAUCACACCUUUUUCUGUGAGUAAUGCUAAUUUGGAGAAACCUGGAC